CUCAUUAGGUGGGUCCUCUUAUUGUAGGAAUUUGAUCUUGAAAUUAGGGAUAAGAAAGGGUGUGAAAAUUUGGUUGCAGACCAUCUAUCCUGGCUGCCUAAUUCCUUGACUGUUGGUUCUCCAGUCAAUGAGAACUUUUCUGAUGAACAAUUAGUUUGCAAUG